rnacentral:tRNA from 1 species
GUGAGUGUAGCUCAAUGGCAGAGCGCCGGGCUGUGGCCCCGGUGGUCGCGGGUUCAACCCCCGUCACUCACCCCA